rnacentral:rRNA from 1 species
UACCAGCACCCCGAGUGGUCGGGACGAUUAUUGGGCCUAAAGCAUCCGUAGCCGGUACUGCAAGUCUUCCGUUAAAUCCACCUGCUCAACAGUUGGGCUGCGGAGGAUACUACAGCGCUAGGAGGCGGGAGAGGCAAGCGGUACUCAUUGGGUAGGGGUAAAAUCCACUGAUCCAUUGGAAGACCACCAAGUGGCGAAGGCGGCUUGCCAGAACGCGCCUCGACGGUGAGGGAUGAAAGCUGGGGGAGCAAAACCGGG